GCUUCACUAGCUCAGUAGGCAGAGCAUCAGUCUCAUAAUCUGAAGGUCGAGAGUUCGAACCUCCCGCGGAGCA
rnacentral:tRNA from 1 species